CGUUCUCCUGCCUCAGCCUCCCAAGUAGCUGGGACUACAGAUGAGGAAACAGGUUAAACAAUUUCCCAAACUCAUCAGUGGGGAAUCAUAAAGAUACUAAGAAUACAGGAAAAAACAAAAACCAGGAACCUUGCCUUGUAACCAUCUCCUAUCGCAGGUAAGCACAUACUUACUUAGUACAGAAUACAUUGUGAAGUACUGUUGCCACGUAUGUGCCAAGGGCUACUAGGUGAGGGGAUAUGAUCAUGAGCACAAUAAGCAUGAACUCUGGCUUCAGAGAUGAGCAUUUAGAGGGAGACACAGACAUUGAAUCAACCAAACACACACAGGUAUCUAAUGAAAACUUUGGUAGAUGCUACCAAGAAAAAGUCAUUUAUAAGCUCAUAAAUGGGGAACCCGAAUGGGUGGGUAGAGGGCAAAUGUAAGAGCACUUCCAUUAAAAAGUGACUCAUAGGUAAGACUGAAAGACUAGGAAUUAACCAGGCUGAGACUGAGAAGAGCGGGAUAAGAAUGAGGUGCUUCCUAGUCUGAGCUGAAGGAGGGGUGGGCCUGGAGCUUGGCUCUUGAAGGAACUGAAAGAACAGUACAGCUGGAGAGAAGAGAGGCGAAAAAGGUAGGCAGACAUCGCCUGGUUGCAUUGCAGGCCUGAACUCGCCUUAUCUUCUGGAGGACAAUACCCUGAUUCUCUCUGGAAAAAUGAUAAGGGAAAGCCCUGUGUAUGGUGUUCAGUGUGCUUGAGACAAUGAGGUAGAACUGAUCACAGAUUGGGAGCCAGGCCAGCUUGGGUUUGAAUCUUGUGAGUAACAUGGUGGUGACUGUGGCUAAUGACCAUUAAUAAUAAGUAAAGUGGUGAAGUCAUAAGGCUCCUUCCAAUGACUUCUAUCACUUCCAAUCACUUCUAGUUGAAGCCUAGAAGUAAUUAUUCACUUUACUAAAGGAUUCACUAGAAGCGUCCUUCACAUAGUUCCCCCUAAUGCACCUAAAAUAGAUGUGAUUGCCACAGGCAAAUCACACAAUUCUGGAGGGACUCCCUCUUAUGGAGACCUGAAGCUGGCUGUGACUGGCUGUGAUCACCUGGCCAUGAUGUACUGAUAACAGGUCUCUGAGCAAACUGUGGUAUAUGAAAAUCAUUGCCAAGAAAGCCUAGAAUCUUUAGUAGAAAUCUCAGAGUCCCAGAAACUUUGAGAGAAUAUGUUAGUUGGAGGAAAAAUAAGCAUUGUCUUCCCUCCUGCCUUGUUCUCUGCCUACCUCUGGCCCAACCUCAAAUCUUUAAAUGAUGUAGCCCAGCAGAGGCCAGUGGCAUAAAGACGGUUUCUCUCCCUUCAUCCUCUUUGGAGCUGGUGGGAAUUGGUUGGAAGGAAGGUUUCCGGUCUUUUUCAAAGCCUCUCAGAGGUCUCCUCAUUCCUGGUAGGCCCUCAGCACUCCUACUGUGAACCAGCUGCUCCCACCUUGAGACUCUGUACUCACUGCUUUAAGUUGUGCUCUAAUGUGUGUGAUUGUAUGCAUUUGAUUUUGAAAAUUUGGAGAAUUCUAUGGAAAACUCUAAUUUCUUUGUAUUUCUACCUGAUCUCUGCUCCUCCCUUGAGAAGAAGUUGGAUUAUGGAAUAAGAAAUUUAGGGUAUAUCUAGACAGGGCAAGUCUUCUUUCUGAAAAACACAGUACCUUGGCAUGUAGUCCAGGAACUGGGAACCAAAC
rnacentral:lncRNA from 1 species